rnacentral:rRNA from 1 species
UACGUAGGGGGCAAGCGUUGUCCGGAUUUAUUGGGCGUAAAGAGCGUGUGGGCGGCCAGAUAGGUCCGUUGUGAAAACUCGAGGCUCAACCUCGAGACGCCGAUGGAAACCAUCUGGCUAGAGUCCGGAAGAGGAGAGUGGAAUUCCUGGUGUAGCGGUGAAAUGCGCAGAUAUCGGGAGGAACACCUAUGGCGAAGGCGGCAUCCUGGACCAACACUGACGCUGAUGAGCGAAAGCCAGGGGAGCAAACGGG